rnacentral:rRNA from 1 species
AUACGGAGGGUGCAAGCGUUACUCGGAAUCACUGGGCGUAAAGCGCGCGCAGGCGGCUUGAUAAGUUGGAUGUGAAAGCCUACGGCUCAACCGUAGAACUGCGUCCAAAACUGUCAAGCUAGAGUCUGGGAGGGGAAGAUGGAAUUAGUUGUGUAGGGGUAAAAUCCGUAGAGAUAACUAGGAAUACCAAAAGCGAAGGCAAUCUUCUGGAACACUACUGACGCUGAGGUGCGAAAGCUAGGGGAGCAAACGGGAUUAGAUACCCCAGUAGUCC